rnacentral:rRNA from 1 species
UACGAAGGGGUCUAGCGUUGCUCGGAAUUACUGGGCGUAAAGCGCACGUAGGCGGAUCGUUAAGUCGGGGGUGAAAUCCUGGAGCUCAACUCCAGAACUGCCUUCGAUACUGGCGAUCUUGAGUCCGGAAGAGGUGAGUGGAACUCCUAGUGUAGAGGUGGAAUUCGUAGAUAUUAGGAAGAACACCAGUGGCGAAGGCGGCUCACUGGUCCGGUACUGACGCUGAGGUGCGAAAGCGUGGGGAGCAAACAGG